CGGGGUGCACCAGGCGCGAAAACUCUACAAUGCAGGCAACUGCGAUAGGGGAACAUCGAGUGAUCCUCAUAUUGGGGGUCUGUCCCACCGUCUAAAAAACGGUGGUUAGCGAGGGCCGGGCAAGACCGGUGCCAGCCGCCGCGGUAAUACCGGCGGCUCGAGUGGUGGCCGAUAUUAUUGAGUCUAAAGGGUCCGUAGCCGGCUUUGCAAGUCUCUCGGGAAAUCCAGCGGCUUAACCGUUGGUCGUCCGGGGGGUACUACAUUGCUUGGGACUGGGAGAGGUAGGAGGUACUCAGGGGGUAGGAGUGAAAUCCUGUAAUCCUCUGGGGACCACCGGUGGCGAAGGCGUCCUACCAGAACAGGUCCGACGGUGAGGGACGAAAGCUAGGGGCACGAACCGGAUUAGAUACCCGGGUAGUCCUAGCCGUAAACGAUGCUCGCUAGGUGUCACAACAGUCGUGAACUGUUGUGGUGCCGUAGGGAAGCCGUGAAGCGAGCCACUUGAGAAGUACGACCGCAAGGUUGAAACUUAAAGGAAUUGGCGGGGGA
rnacentral:rRNA from 1 species